rnacentral:antisense_RNA from 1 species
UGUGGGAGCGGGCUUGCUCGCGAAAGCGCUGGAUCAGUCGGAAUAUAGAGUGACUGACACACCGCUUUCGCGAGCAAGCCCGCUCCCACA